rnacentral:rRNA from 1 species
UACGUAGGGAGCGAGCGUUGUCCGGAAUUACUGGGUGUAAAGGGCGUGUAGCCGGGUUGACAAGUCAGAUGUGAAAUCCUGCGGCUUAACCGCAGAACUGCAUUUGAAACUGUUGAUCUUGAGUACUGGAGAGGCAGACGGAAUUCCUAGUGUAGCGGUGAAAUGCGUAGAUAUUAGGAGGAACACCAGUGGCGAAGGCGGCCUACUGGACGGUGACUGACGACGUGAGGCUCGGAAAGCGAGUGGG